CGGGGCGUAGCGCAGUCUGGUAGCGCGCCUGCUUUGGGAGCAGGAUGUCGGGAGUUCAAAUCUCUCCGCCCCGA
rnacentral:tRNA from 1 species